ensembl:snRNA U1 U1 spliceosomal RNA
AUACUUACCUGGCAGGGGAGAUACCAUGAUCACGAAGGUGGUUUUGCCAGGGCGAGGCUUAUCCAUUGCACUCCGGAUGUGCUGACCCCUGCGAUUUCCCCAAAUGUGGGAAACUCGACUGCAUAAUUUGUGGUAGUGGGGGACUGCGUCCGCGCUUUCCCCUG